UUAUGACCUUGAAGAUACUCAUCACUUGGAAUGGAUUUGGACUUGAGAAGCUUUUAGUUCAAAUAGUCUUAUAGCCCAGGAACAAAAGGGAUGCUGAUAAGAAUGAUUAAUGAAUUCAGUGAAGAAGUUUUUAUGUAGUGAGAAAGGAAUGCUCUUAUCCCCCUCAGCCAGAUACUACUGAGUACCCCAGCUAAUUUUAACAGAAAUGUUUUUCUGAUUCCUGAGUUAGUUACACAUCCCUGAGAGCCUGUGCUCUUUGCAGUCAGCAAACAUCAUGUAAGCAACAUCAGGUUGGUUACUCUACUGACUGGAAAGGAGCUGUGCCCAUUUGCACCUGGGGGAAUCUGGCACAAUGUUCUUUGUGCCAGGGUUACCCCAUGGGAUGAAAUGUGCACUGCUGAACAGAGCACGUGGGAUUAAACUGGGAUUUCAUUAGUAGGGGAAAACCAGCAUUAUUUCCAAGCACAACCACUUAUGAGUUACCCAUGAUGAGAAGAAGGCAUAGCAUUUUCUGUGGGGAAAUAGAGAUGUACAGCUAUGAUUAAGCUUCAUGUUUGUUACUAUAAUGCAAAUCAUUGUGGUAAACUUUGGCUUGUGAUUGCUGUCCUAUUUCUAGCUAAAUUAAUUUGAUGUUUUAUUAAUUUAUCCAUAUGAGGAGAUCUAAAAACGCUGGCUGUUUGAACUCUGCUGCAUGGCUUUACUGCAAGUAACCUGCCUUCUUAAGCUGUAAAACUGAUGGCUGUCUCCUGCAAACCAGGACUGGGAUCUCCUGGAGUUUCCCCUACCCUGUACCCACAGGCUGGAAGGCAGACUGUGUUCCUGCCUGCUCAGAGCAAGCUGCCAGGUGCUCUCCAAGCACAUGUUCCCAGGGUAGCCAUGGCCGAGGCCGCAGGUUAUUAAGUAUGGUGAUUUACAAAAGGAUGGGCUUUUCCAUUUGGAUUCUACUAAGACUCAGAGAAACAACUUUGGCAAUGAAUUAAUGACACUUGACCCUUUGCAGGGAUGAACCCCAGCUCCUCCUCAACCUAAGCCAUGAUAGGGUCUGAAUGCGACAGCUACAGCCUGCAGUUCUGCUGAGAAGGGCUGACUGAUGAAGGGGUGACCAGGUGCUGCUGAAGACCAGCUCUGCAGGACUUACAUAUCUCUCUUGCCAUCAAGAUUGCCUGUGGGCAAGAGACUCUGUCCUGCCUGUCCAUGGCAAUGCUUCACACACAUCAGGAAUACACCUGCACUGCCAAGACACGCAGCCAUGGCCACAGUACAACCCAGAACUGGACACAGGGUGGAGAAUGCCCAUGCUAUAAAGCAGUGCUCUCCUUGAUUGGUAUGCAUGUUGCCAGUUGAAUCUGGCGAGAAUCUGCUGUGCUCCCAGGCAGGAAUCUACACCUCUCUCCCAGAACUGCACAGGGAUCCAGUGCAAAUAAUCUCACCUCAGCACAAAGAGGGACGUUUUUGUAAAACAAGAGCAGUAAAAUGCUCACAAAUCUUCUUAAAUGGUGAAUAAAGGACCAGAUCUAUUGAAAGAUUAAUGCAGCACUAUGGGAAAAACUGAAUGCUGGGGGCUGUAAUGGUUAAACAGUGUGAAAUAAAAUCCUGACAGGCCAUGGAAAGUGGACUGGGAAAGGGACUAUGAGGACAAGGAUGUGUGAGGACCCCCAGCUGUGAAGUACUGCUGCCCACUUUGGAGCCUGGAGAUGUCUUUCUUGGAACUUUGACCCCCAAGAAGAGGGAUGACUCAGCCAUUCCCUCUUUACUCUGGCCUGUGUGACAUCUCUUUUCUUCAAUUCUUAUUCUUUGGCCCUGGAGAAGAGGAGGUUAUUGGAAUGGAGAGCAAACUGCAAGGACUACCUAAAGCAGCAUUGGUGGAAUAGUGGGUUUGCCAGGUCAUUGUCAAAAAAACUUCUUCUGUCCCUGGUUUUCAGUGAGUGCUGGGUGUGCCCAUUUGUGCUCUGCUGUCACCUGUACUCCUCUGUGCUUUCAGGUUUCCCCCAAGGCUGCCCACAGCUGGGAAUGUGGGGCAAGACACAGGACUUGCUGCCCGAGCCCUGCAGAUGCCCACAGACUCCGUGCACAUUGCUCUGCAUGUCUAAAAGAAAGAUCAUGAGUUUGAAAACAAAAGCUGUUGAGCCUCAGAUUAGCAGCAAACCCAACUGCUCCUGCAACCUUCCGUACAGCACCAUCCAGUGACACCACCUGAAGCUGGAUUUCCACAGCCACAAGCCAGUCGGAGCAGGGUUACCUCCAGCUCUGUUCUCCACAGAGGUCUUUCCAGUUACACUGCCUCGAGUGUUUUGUAUGACAAGGCAGCAUGAACUAAAAAGAAAGCAAGGAAACACUGAGGUUUCCUCUCUCUUUCCCCCUUCCACUGACUGGAUUGGUGUGAACCUCCUGGAAACCAUACAGCCUUUGAGAGCAGCAGUAGGUUGGCCUCAAAAAGGACCACAAGUGUGGGCUGACCAUGGCUGAUUGCUGCAGCAUCUCUGAAUGUGCCCUUUCAGUGUGGAAGCAGCAGUGCAAAAGCUGGCUAUUGGGUUCUGUAACUUGCAGCAUUUGCUAUGGAAAAGAGAAGGAAAAGCCUAAGUAUUUUUUUUCUAAAUCUACUGCAUACACUGGCAAAGCUCUUCUCAUAAACCCCAUGGUAAAAAUUACUCAUUCCCACUUCUUCCUUGCAAAGAAAUAAUCUGAUUCUUGGCUAUUAACAUGUAACUCUCUUCUGCACAAAUUUGAAGCAACAAUGUGUCUACUUUUUGUUAACAAAUAUAAAACCUCAUUUUCAUUAAAAUCAAGACAAAA